rnacentral:rRNA from 1 species
CCUACGGGUGGCUGCAGUAGGGAAUAUUGCUCAAUGGGGGAAACCCUGAAGCAGCAACGCCGCGUGGAGGAUGAAGGUUUUCUGAUUGUAAACUCCUUUUGUUAGAGAAGAUAAUGACGGUAUCUAACGAAUACUCACCGGCUAACUCCGUUCCAGCAGCCGCGGUAAUACGGAGGGUGCAAGCGUUACUCGGAAUCACUGGGCGUAAAGCGCGCGUAGGCGGGAUAGCAAGUCAGAUGUGAAAUCCUAUGGCUUAACCAUAGAACUGCAUUUGAAACUGUUAUUCUAGAGUAAGGGAGAGGUAGGUGGAAUUCUUGGUGUAGGGGUAAAAUCCGUAGAGAUCAAGAGGAAUACUCAUUGCGAAGGCAGCAUACCGGCGGCGAUCUGACGCUGAGGCACGAAAGCGUGGGUAUCGAACAGGAUUAGAUACCCUAGUAGUC